rnacentral:rRNA from 1 species
UUAGGAAUCUUGGGCAAUGGGGGCAACCCUGACCCAGCCAUGCCGCGUGUGUGAAGAAGGCCUUCGGGUUGUAAAGCACUUUCAAGGGUGAAGAAAGGCCUGAGGCGAAUACCCUCGGGUGUUGACGUUAGCUCUAGAAGAAGUACCGGCUAACUCCGUGCCAGCAGCCGCGGUAAUACGGAGGGUACGAACGUUAAUCGGAAUUACUGGGCGUAAAGCGCACGUAGGCGGUUCGUUAAGUGGGAUGUGAAAUCCCCGGGCUCAACCUGGGAACUGCAUUCCAGACUGGCGAACUCGAGUCUGGUAGAGGGGGGUGGAAUUUCCUGUGUAGCGGUGAAAUGCGUAGAUAUAGGAAGGAACAUCAGUGGCGAAGGCGGCCCCCUGGACUAAGACUGACGCUGAGGUGCGAAAGCGUGGGGAGCAAACAGG